UACGUAGGGGGCAAGCGUUGUCCGGAAUCAUUGGGCGUAAAGAGCGUGUAGGCGGCCCGGUAAGUCUGUUGUGAAAGUCCAGGGCUCAACCCUGGAAAGCCGAUGGAUACUGCCGGGCUAGAGUUCGGAAGAGGCGAGUGGAAUUCCUGGUGUAGCGGUGGAAUGCGCAGAUAUCAGGAGGAACACCAAUGGCGAAGGCAGCUCUCUGGUACGUGACUGACGCUGAGACGCGAAAGCGUGGGGAGCGAACAGG
rnacentral:rRNA from 1 species